rnacentral:lncRNA from 1 species
GUGUAUCGAUGAGAUGAAACAUGGAUAUCAAAUCAUUGAACUAGUCAUCAAAACAAAUAUAUUAUUUAUCUCAAAAAGAGGCGUGGCCUUGGAAACAGCUGUAUUAACAAAGUGCAACCUAUAACUUUGGAAGAUUUUUCUUUAACAUAACUAUCAAGAAACUUUUAGUUUUGGUGUAAUUUAAAGCACUUCUCGUAAUGCAU